CCGGUACGGGAGGCUGAGCGAACGCGCUUUGCUUUUAGUUGCUGAUGGUUAAGACUAAGCUGCUCGUAAGCCGAUUGAACACGAGUAAUCUCUCCAGAAAAAUCUUUUAAUUAAGGUUACAUGGAAACAAUUGGUUGCGAUUGUAGACGUCAAUUAGAAGAUGGGGGAGAAGGAGAGUGACAGAGAGAAAGAGAAAGCUCUUUCCUGCUGGUUUUCUCCCCAAAUGCGUACAAUGGCCAGGACUGUGUCAAGCCAAAGCCAGGAGCCAGGAACUCAGUGCAUGUCUCCUGUAUGAGUGACAGGAACCCAGCUCUUCAAGCUCUCAAUGAAGCAUUAGCAGGAAGCUGGAAGCAUGAGCCAGAGCCAGAAAUCUUCCAGAACGCUUGUUUUCAGGCAACACAAGAAGACCCAGUCCUAUCCUGUGUGUUUCCAGCUCCAGCCUGGAAUUAACCGUUUCUCCAGACAGCUGUGCCUCCAUUUAAUGGGAAGUGGGGUUUGAGAACACGACGUGACUGCUCAUUGCCAGCUUUUCCCUGCUUGCUUAUGGGGCUUUUUGGUGAACAGAGCUGAGAAAGACAUAUUUCUUGCAAAGAAAAAAAUUUCUGAGUUCAUACUGCUAUUUCCAACUUAAAAUAUGAAUGACAGAAUUUUCACUUAACUUCUUGGUUUUUAGUGCUUGCAUCUCAUUUGAUUUGUAUCUCUUGUCUGUCAUUCUGAACGUUUUUUACAUUUUUUUUUUUUUUAGCCUGGACCUCCAUCUGGAUUGCCCACAUAGGUGACAAAGGCCAUCAUCUGCUGCCUUCCCAGGCUCAUUAGCAGGGAGCUGGAUCGGAAGCAGAGCAGCUGGUACUCAAACUGGCGCUCUGAUCUGGGACGCUGAUGUUGCAAGCAGUGGUUUAAUCCAGUGCACCACAAUGAUAGCCCAAAUUUUUACAUCUUAAAAACAUGAAUAUAAUCUUAUCUGCUUUAUCUCAUUACAUAUAUACAUAAAUGUGUGUGCCUGUGUAUAUGUAUAUUUAUGGCUCUGAUUACUCAGUCUUUUCUGCAUUUAUACCCUCUGCCAUGUGUCUUUUCUAGCUGGGAUCAACACUCCUUGAAUCUGCUCUGGUCAGGAGCCAAGAGAGUGAAGCAGAAGUGAUGCUGUACCAAGCCCAAGUCCAGGCUUGAAGGUUUCUUGUAUUUCUGUGCAUUCACUUGUGUCUCUCCCAGUCAUCUCAGCAUGGCUAAACCAGAUUAGCCAACCUUUGGUCCUUCUGUUAUUUAGCAUGGAAAACGUAAGCAGUUAUAUAUGUGUAUUCACAUGCCCAAUCCUGUAUCAUUCUGCUGGAGUUGCCGUAACAAAGCAUUUCAAACCAGGUGUCUUAAACAACAGAGGUUUCUGCUUCCACAAUUUUAGAGGCUGGAAGUUCAAAGCCUGUAUCUUUUUUUUUUUUUUUUUUGGAAUUAUUUUAUUUAUUUGAAAGACAGAGUUACAGAUAGAAGUAGAGCCAGAGAGAGAGGUCUUCCAUUCUGCUGGUUCACUCCCCAAAUGACCACAAUGGCCAGAGCUGAGCCAAUCUGGAGCCAGGAGCCUCUUCUGAAUCUCCCACGUGGGUGCAGGGCCCCAAGGAGCUGAGCCAUUUUCCACUGCUUUCCCAGGCCAUAGCAGAGAGCUGGAUCGGAAGUGGGAGCAGCUGGGAUUUAAACCGGUGCCCAUAUGGGACACCGGCACUGCAGGCUGGGGUUUUAACCUGCUGUGCCACAGCGCCGGCCCCCAGAGCCUGAGUCAGCACAGCCGUUCUCUUCAGGGCUCUAGGAAAGAAUCCUCCAUCACCUGCUCCAGUUUCUGGUGGUUGCCUUUGGAGUCCCUUGGUUUGCAGCUGCAUCACUCUGAUCUCCGCCUCCAGCACCACUUGGGCCAUCCUCCUCUGCACUCCCAGGCACAUAAGCAGGGAACAGGAUUGGAAGUGGAGCAGCCAGGACUCAAACCGGCAUUCAUGUGGGAUGCUGGUGCUGCAGGUGGCAGUUUCACCCACUAUGCCACAGUGCCAGCCCCACCGUGUUUUUAUAAGGACAGAAGUCAUUGAUUGGAGCCCACCCUGAGCUCUGUUCCCAGGGGUCUGACAGAUGGCAAUUUUCAGUGAAGAAGUGAAAACAACAACAACAAAGACUCUGUGAGACUAGAGGAGAGCUAGCUAUGAGCCACCAUCUUACCAUGUCAAAGUUGAAGAAUUGCCACAGCCCCAUGGCUCACAGUUUAGCCGAGAGGGAAUUCCACAGUCACCCACUGACUUUGACUUCCGCCGGAGAGCUGACUGGAGUCUGAGCAACUGCCAGGCUCCUGCAGGGCACCAACCAAUCUCCCUACCAAUUGCCUGGGGGAAGCAGUGUUUGGGCCCCUGCACCCCGGUGGGAGACCCAGAAGAAGCUGCUGGCUCCUGGCUUCAGCCUGGCCCAGCCCCAGUUGUUGGGGCCAUCUGGGGAGUGAAUCAACAGAUGGAAGAUUCCUCUCUGUCUCUCCCUCUCUGUUGCUCUGCCUUUUAAAUAAGCAAAUAAAUCUUUAAAAACAAAAAUCUGCAUCUCUUGACCUUAUUUCCUGUGCAGUGCCUGGUUUUUGCUGGGUGCUCUGUAAGUGUUGGGCCAAUGGAUGAAGAAGGAGUAGCUGAUUGAGUUUCUGUAGCUGCAGACCUCAGGUGUCUGGAGAGGGGUGCCCACGGUCACAGCCCUUACCCCAGCCCCCCUAGCCUGGGCUCUUCACACUGUACCUAGGAACUUGUGUUGCCACGCCUGCUAAGCUCCCCAGCACGGCCCUCUCCAGCAGCCCCAACAUCUGGCUCUGCCUGAUGAAAUGCUGGAUUAGGAGGGACUCCCGGCCAGCGCGUCCAGCUAAAGCCACCUCCCACAGCUGUUUGAAUUUCAGCAGCAGCUUUGGCCACCUCUCCCUCCUCCCCCACGCAAAGCCAUGUUUCGAAGGAGCAUUCAGAUUGGCAGCAGCCUCUCUCAGGCUCAUUUUUACCCCCCACCCCGACUCCUUACUUCCAGAUGGCUGUGGGGGAAAGGAAGCAGAUGGGAGCCACAGAAGGGCCAGCAUGACAAACAGAACCCAAGGAUGCAUUGUUUCAAGUUAAUUCAUGUCUGGGGACAUCGGAGUCAGGUGCCGCCGAAGGGGCUGGAGGCAGUGGGAAGGAUGUAACAGGACAAUGCGGGGAGAGCCUCUGGAUUUGUCUGUUCUGUCCACCUCUGCUGUGUGGGGGCUUUUGUUGGGGUAGAGGACCCCCUCUUCCUUCUACCUAGUGCCUUCUGGGGCCCGGUGGCUUCCUUUAUUCAGACUUGGUCAGCCCUGGGAUUGGCAUAUUUGUCUCAGUGUAAAGCCAGCGGCUGGGAGCCAGGGUGUGGGUCCUGGUGCAUCUUCACCUAGCUGUGGCUUUGGCAAGUCAUUGGUGUUCUCUGGCCUCCGUUUCCUAAGUGAUGAAGCCAGGAAGUGUAAUCUCAGGUUGGUCCGCGUUCCGUGGCUGUUGUGAAGGUGGAGUGCGAUCAGGGACAUUGCCCAUUACUCAUCAUACCCUCUGGGACUCAUCCUCCCUGCUGGUCACUGUGUUCCCAGAGCCUGGGAGCGUCCCUGGCAUGGAGCAGCAAUGCAGAAAAAUGCUGAGUCAACCAUUGUGAAAGUGCCUGUCAGCCACCCCGCAGGCCUGAAGCAUUGCACAGAGAGAUGGUUUCUAUAGCUCAGCCUGAUUUAUGUUCCCUCCAACUAUGAUGGCUACUUUAGACAAGGUGCAGGACAAAAGGGGCUGGUACUGUGGCGUAGCAGGUAAAGCUACCACCUGCAGUGCUGGCAUCCCAUAUGGGCCCUGGUUUGAGUCCCAGCUGCUCCACUUCUGAUCCAGCUCUCUCCUAUGGCCUGGGAAAGCAGUGGAAGAUGGCCCAAGUCCUUGGGCCCCUGCAUCCAUGUGGGAGACCCGGAAUAAGCUGCUGGCUCCUGGCUUCAACCUGGCCCAGCUCCAGCCCUUCAGCCAUUAGGAGAGUGAACCAGCGGGUGGAAGAUCUCUCUCUCUCUCUCUGUCUGCCACUGCCUCUCUGUAACUCUGCAUUUUAAAUAAAAAUGAAUAAAUCUUCAAAAAAGAAAAAAAGAUGCAGGACAAGGACCUGUGACUUCAUCCAUUCCU